UACGGAGGGAGCUAGCGUUGUUCGGAAUUACUGGGCGUAAAGCGCGCGUAGGCGGCUUUGUAAGUUAGAGGUGAAAGCCCGGGGCUCAACCCCGGAACUGCCUUUAAAACUGCAUCGCUUGAAUCCAGGAGAGGUGAGUGGAAUUCCGAGUGUAGAGGUGAAAUUCGUAGAUAUUCGGAAGAACACCAGUGGCGAAGGCGACUUACUGGACACAUAUUGACGCUGAGGUGCGAAAGCGUGGGAGCAAACAGGG
rnacentral:rRNA from 1 species